GAUAAAUUAGGACUUUGGGACUGACAUUUUCACACCACUAUAUAUAAAAUAGAUAAAGAACAAGGACCUACUGUAUAGCACAGGGAAUUCUACUCAGUAUUCUGCAGUAACCUAUAUGGGAAAAGAAUCUGAAAAACAAUAGAUAUAUGUAUUUGUAUAACUGAAUCACUUUGCUGUACACCUGAAACUAACACAAUAUUGUAAAUCAACUAUACUCCAAUAUAAAAUUAAAUUUAAAAAAUAAUAAUAAUAAAAGAAAAAACAGGCAGGAGUAAUUAACGAUAGCUAUUAGACAGAAUUAAAUAGAUAGCAUAUGAGAAAGUGCCUGAUAUAUAGGUGGCACCCAGUAAGGUAAUUUUCCUUCCUUCUCCUUGUGCUUUCCCAGCCAGAAUGGAUUUCUCCUGUUUUUUAACUCCCUCAAUACUAUCUUUCCUUACCUGUUCUUAGAGCCCUUAACAAAUGAGACAUGUUCUAAUUUUGAAAAUGCUUUAGUUAUUUUCUGAGACAAGCAAAAACAUCCAAAAACCCUCUCCCUACAAGUUCCACAAGCUGUCCAGUUACGAGACUGGGUUCUGUAGUUUGGGUCUGAGGAUCCCUGACUGCUUCUGACCACCCCACAGUGCCCACCCUCAUGGAAUUCUAAGGGACUGAAAGAGAAUAUUUCUUUGCAUCUUGAGUGUAGGCCAAGCUCAGCUCUAGGGACUAUAUAUAUAUUCUGUAUUAUUUAAUACUCAAGAUAACUUUCAACAAUAAGGUUGAAACUUUAUUCCCAUUUUAGAGAUGGAGAAAACAAGGCCCAGACAUAUUAAGUAAUUUACUCAGGGUCACAGACUUUGUCGUGGGCAGAGUAGAGUUUGGAGAGAAGUGUGUUUGAUGUCACAGCUCUCUUCUUCCUCCUCUACCACAGAAUAGCUGAAUUUUGUCUCCUUCACAAUCUCCAUUGUCCUGUCAGAGAUCAAGCCCCUGCUUCCUGGCUAAUGAGAAUAAUUGGUCCUCAUCCCCUUCAGCACAUCCUUUCAUGUGUCUGAGCACCUCACCUGGCUCAGUCUUUUCUGUAGACCCAUGAGGCCCAUCUUUCUCAACCUCCUCACAUCAAUCCAACUCCCCAAACCUUUUAUCACUCUCUACUGCUCUCCUUUUAACUGGUUCCAAUCUCUCAGCGUCUGCCAGAGUGUCCAGGACCAAAGGCUGUCUGCCAGGAGAUCGGAAGCCAUGCCAGCAUUGAGUUGAGCUGUUACCUGGCGCAUCGUGAACACGUGUCUCACUGAUUCCAGCAAUGAGAAGGUGUCAAUUCAUGGUUCAAGGUAAAAAGAGAGAGCAUGUGGGAAACCUUGAAGAAGUGAAGAGUGCCACUCAAGCAGUGGCAAGAAAGGUAGAUAGAGGUAAGCUGUCUUGGGCACAAGUGUGAACAUGGAACUCAAACCCAUGCAACAAAAGCAUCGAAUGCUGAGUAAGCAGAAGGCAUGUCCUAGGCACAAAGAUGAGCAGAAUUGAGAUAUAAAGAAGAAUAGAAGACCUAUCCCUUCCCUUAAGGAACUCACUGUCCAGCUCUCCAUCGGCCAACAUGGAAGCCACUUGUCACAGGUGGUUAGGAGUACCUAAAAUGUGGCUGGUUGAAAUUGAGAUGUGCUGUAAAAUAUACACCAAAGUUUGAAGACUUAAGAUGAAAAAAAUAUGUGAAAUUUUUACACUGAUUACUGGUUGAACUGAUUCAUAUUUUUAACAUAUUGGGUUAAAUUAAAAAUAUUAUUAAAAUUAAUUUCAUCUAUUUCUUUUUACUUUUUUUAUAUGAGGCUACUAGAGAAUCUCACAUUGCAUGUGUGGCCUACAUUUUAUUCCUGUUGGACAGUACUGGUCGAUUCAGCAAGAUGAGGAAACUGAGGUCCUAGAGGUUACAUAACUGCCCUAAGUUGAUGCAGAGAGGGCGGGGCUGAGAAGAGAUCGUGUCUGCCUGACUUCAAAGCUCAGAAAUUUUCCAUGAUGAAACACUCCACACAAGGAUUUCAGCUUCUACUUUGGAUAAUACUGCUGACUAUUGUACAGAGCAAUUUGUCCGAGUGUUUGGGGGAUAGGUGUUGUGCAAGAAAGAAGUAGAAAAUGUUGGUAGACUAUGAAGAAGACCAACGAAGGCAUGAAGGGACAAGAAACCAAAGAAAGGAGUUAUUAAGAAUGUAAACCGUGGGCUUCCCUGGUGGCACAGUGGUUAAGAAUCCACCUGCCAAUGCAGGGGACAUGGGUUCGAGCCCUGGCCUGGGAAGACCCCACAUGCCAUGGAGCAAUUAAGCCCAUGUGCCACAACUACUGAGCCCAGGUGCUGCAACUAUUGAAGCCCGCAAGCCUAGAGCCCAUGCUCCGAAACAAGAGAAGCCACCGCAAUGAGAAACCCAUGCACUGCAACGAAGACCCAACACAGCCAAAAAUAAAAUAAAUUAAUUU